CCGCUCCUCUAAUCAAAUCUGUGUCUCUCUGCGUUUUCCAUUUCCUUUCAAAGUUUGAACUGCUAAGGGAGGGAGAGUAAGAUCUUCCCUAGUCCAGCCAUGGAAAACCCUAAAGUUCAAGAGAUUAUAGAGAAGCAAGUACUUACGGUAGCGAAGGCCGUGGAGGACAAGCUGGAUGAAGAGAUCGCCGCACUUGAGCGUCUUGAUGUCGACGAUCUGGAGGCUCUGAGAGAGAGGCGUAUACAGCAGAUGAAGAAAAUGGCGGAGAAGCGCAGCCGUUGGAUCUCCGUUGGCCAUGGCGAGUACUCUGAGAUCCCCUCUGAGAAGGACUUCUUCUCCGUUGUAAAAGCCAGCGACCAUGUCGUUUGCCAUUUCUAUCGCGAGAAUUGGCCCUGCAAGGUGAUGGACAAGCACUUGAGCAUAUUGGCAAAGCAACACAUAGAGACACGUUUUGUGAAAAUUCAUGCUGAGAAAAGUCCAUUUUUGGCUGAGAGACUCAAGAUUGUUGUUCUCCCAACCCUUGCCCUUAUAAAGAAUGCCAAAGUGGAUGAUUAUGUGGUGGGGUUUGAUGAACUCGGCGGGACAGAUGAGUUUAGCACAGAGGAUUUAGAGGACAGGUUGGCUAAAGCUCAAGUCAUCUCUUUUGAGGGUGAAUCAUCUCUGAAUCCAUCUAAAUCUAGCACACAAGCCAGAAGGAGUGUGAGGCAAAGUGAAAGCCAUGACUCAUCAGAUUCAGAUUGAAAUCUGUUGUGCCUGAUGCCAACUAUUUUUUUAUAUAUCGUUCAGCCAAUGGAAAACUCAGUUAUGGUUUAUUUUGGGAUGGCAAUGUUAUAUGAUUUUAGUGUUUUGUUGUUAUUGUGAGAUUUAUAUAUGCUGUAUGUGUUGUAAUAGGCAGUGUUCUUACAUCGACAGAAUGCGUCCUAGAAUUCUAAGGGUAAUUUUGUAAUGAACACAUCGUGGGUAUGUAAUGAAUCUAGGACAGCGCUUUGCAUAGAAAAUACAUGUAGUUCAAAAGAGAAAUGAAAGGAUAACAUUGCCA
rnacentral:misc_RNA from 1 species